UCGGGAAUAUUGCGCAAUGGAGGAAACUCUGACGCAGUGACGCCGCGUGCAGGAAGAAGGUUUUCGGAUUGUAAACUGCUUUAGACAGGGAAGAUAGUGACAGUACCUGUAGAAUAAGCUCCGGCUAACUACGUGCCAGCAGCCGCGGUAAUACGUAGGGAGCAAGCGUUAUCCGGAUUUAUUGGGUGUAAAGGGUGCGUAGACGGGAGAGCAAGUUGGUUGUGAAAUCCCUCGGCUUAACUGAGGAACUGCAACCAAAACUACUAUUCUUGAGUGCUGGAGAGGAAAGUGGAAUUCCUAGUGUAGCGGUGAAAUGCGUAGAUAUUAGGAGGAACACCAGUGGCGAAGGCGACUUUCUGGACAGUAACUGACGUUGAGGCACGAAAGUGUGGGGAGCAAACA
rnacentral:rRNA from 1 species